rnacentral:tRNA from 1 species
UGAGGCUGGGGCUCAGCGGUAGAGUGUUCACCUAGCACAUGCAAGGCUCUGGGUUCGAUCCUCAGCACCACAA